UACGUAGGGUGCGAGCGUUAAUCGGAAUUACUGGGCGUAAAGCGUGCGCAGGCGGUUUUGUAAGACAGGCGUGAAAUCCCCGAGCUCAACUUGGGAAUUGCGCUUGUGACUGCAAGGCUAGAGUGUGUCAGAGGGGGGUAGAAUUCCACGUGUAGCAGUGAAAUGCGUAGAGAUGUGGAGGAAUACCGAUGGCGAAGGCAGCCCCCUGGGCCAAUACUGACGCUCAUGCACGAAAGCGUGGGGAGCAAACAGG
rnacentral:rRNA from 1 species